UACCUACGUGCCAGCAGUCGCGGUAAUACGUAGGGUGCGAGCGUUAAUCGGAAUUACUGGGCGUAAAGGGUGCGCAGGCGGUCUUGUAAGUCAGAUGUGAAAUCACCGGGCUUAACCUGGGAACUGCGUUUGCAGCUACAAGACUAGAAU
rnacentral:rRNA from 1 species